AAGUCAUGGUGGCCUAGUGGGUAAAGAACCAACCUCUCGAGUAUGAGGGUGUGGGUUCGAUUCCAGGUCAGGCAAGUACCAAUGCAACUUUUCUAAGUUUGUAUGUACUUUCUAAGUAUAUCUUAGACACCAAUGGCUGAUAAAAA
rnacentral:lncRNA from 1 species